CGUUAGCUGCAGAAGAAGCACCGGCUAACUCCGUGCCAGCAGCCGCGGUAAUACGGAGGGUGCGAGCGUUAAUCGGAAUUACUGGGCGUAAAGCGCAUGCAGGUGGUUUGUUAAGUCAGAUGUGAAAGCCCGGGGCUCAACCUCGGAAUUGCAUUUGAAACUGGCAAACUAGAGUACUGUAGAGGGGGUAGAAUUUCGGGUGUAGCGGUGAAAUGCGUAGAGAUCUGAAGGAAUACCGGUGGCGAAGGCGGCCCCCUGGACAGAUACUGACACUCAGAUGCGAAAGCGUGGGGAGCGAACAGGAUUAGAUACCCUGGUAG
rnacentral:rRNA from 1 species